AGAAAAGAAGCUGCUCUUUUGCCUGGUCUAUGGUAAGUCCAUAACACUUACCCCAGUUCCUCUGCGUGGUUGGCCAGGGCUUUGAGCUAGUUGUGGGAGCCAAGGAGGCUUGUGUUCCCACACUUCCAAAUAGGAGAGCUCAACUCUAGCAUGGGGUGCCUGAGAGGGUUAGAGACCUUUGGAUAACCUAGUCACCGGGGGCCGGAGGACUGAGCAGUGGUUCCCAGUUUUAGAGACCCAGCUAGGGUUCUGCAGGUAGGUCUCAGUUGAGUCCUGGCUCCUCCCAUCUGCUAGAUGGCCUUGGGCUAGUCAUCUUGGAUUCCAUAGUUGCUAACAUGCUCAACUUGAAUGUCUGAAAUCUUCUGACCGUGGAUGACCCUGGGUGUCUCCUCCUUUCUAAAACAGGGCUUUGAAGUUGGGGCCACUUUUGUUAGGACUCCCAAGCUGCCACUUCCAAGCUCUAGGACUUUGACAGAUUUCCUCAUCUGUAAGCCGGGGAUAAUAUACCCACCUCAAGGAGUUGCCGAGGGCGCUGAAUAGAUCCUGACUGUGGAAAGCACAGAGGCACCCCGAGUGUGGGCUGUCCCCAACGGCACGUGUAUUGGAGCAUGCGUGGGGGCAGUGCAUGCAAGAGUGUGGGCAGGUGUGUGACUGAGAAUGAGCACCCACCCGCGGCUGCAACUCGAGUCUGUUUCCAUGAGACACUGGGCCUCUGCUUUCUUUUCAAGGUCCGUUAGGUGAAAUUCUGAUAUGUAAGCAUUUCUGCCCAUGGCUCCUCCAAAUCUUUCUGAAUCAUUUCUUUUUACUGUGGUGGAGAGUGAACCUAGGACCCCAAGCAUGUCAGCAACUGUACAAGACCACAUCUUGCUGACAUUUGCCGCCCCACUCCCACCUUUUUUGAGGAGGGUAAACCGCCGCCAUCCCUGAGUGGUACCAAGAUGGCUGCCUCAACUCCAGGUAUCUGACACAAGCAACAGCGUG